rnacentral:rRNA from 1 species
AAUAAGCGGAGGAAAAGAAACCAACAGGGAUUACCUCAGUAACGGCGAGUGAAGCGGUAACAGCUCAAAUUUGAAAUCUGCCAACAGGCCGAGUUGUAAUUUGUAGAAGAUGCUUUGGGUAUGGCUCCGGGUUAAGUUCGUUGGAACACGACGUCAUAGAGGGUGAGAAUCCCGUAUGUGCCUGGUUGCUUUUGCCUAUGUAAAGCUCUUUCGACGAGUCGAGUUGUUUGGGAAUGCAGCUCAAAAUGGGUGGUAUAUUUCAUCUAAAGCUAAAUAUUGGCCAGAGACCGAUAGCGCACAAGUAGAGUGAUCGAAAGAUGAAAAGCACUUUGGAAAGAGAGUUAAACAGUACGUGAAAUUGUUGAAAGGGAAGCGCUUGCAACCAGACUUGCACGCUGUUGAUCAUCCAGGCUUCUGUUUGGUGCACUCAGCAGUGUUCAGGCCAGCAUCAGUUUCGGUGGUGGGAUAAAGGCCUUGGGAAUGUAGCUUCUUUCGGGGAGUGUUAUAGCCCUCGGUGCAAUGCCGCCUACCGGGACUGAGGACCGCGC